rnacentral:rRNA from 1 species
CCUACGGGUGGCUGCAGUAGGGAAUCUUCCGCAAUGGACGAAAGUCUGACGGAGCAACGCCGCGUGAGCGAAGAAGGUCUUCGGAUCGUAAAGCUCUGUUGUUAGGGAAGAACAAGUACGGGAGGAAAUGACCGUACCUUGACGGUACCUAACGAGGAAGCCACGACUAACUACGUGCCAGCAGCCGCGGUAAUACGUAGGUGGCAAGCGUUGUCCGGAAUUAUUGGGCGUAAAGCGCGCGCAGGCGGUCUUUUAAGUCUGAUGUGAAAUCUUGCGGCUCAACCGCAAGCGGUCAUUGGAAACUGUCUUACUAGAGUGCAGGAGAGGAAAGCGGAAUUCCUAGUGUAGCGGUGAAAUGCGUAGAUAUUAGGAAGAACACCAGUGGCGAAGGCGGCUUUCUGGACUGUAACUGACGCUGAGGCACGAAAGCGUGGGGAGCGAACAGGAUUAGAUACCCCAGUAGUC